rnacentral:rRNA from 1 species
GUGGGGAAUCUUGCGCAAUGGGCGAAAGCCUGACGCAGCGACGCCGCGUGCGGGAGGACGGCCUUCGGGUCGUAAACCGCUGUUGCCCGGGACGAAUGCCCCUUUCGAGGGGAGUGACGGUACCGGGUGAGGAAGCACCGGCUAACUCCGUGCCAGCAGCCGCGGUAAUACGGAGGGUGCGAGCGUUGUCCGGAAUCACUGGGCGUAAAGGGCGCGUAGGCGGCGCGAUAAGGCGGCGGUGAAAGUCCGGGGCUCAACCCCGGAUCGGCCGUGGCGACUGUCGCGCUGGAGCACAGUAGAGGCGGGUGGAAUUCCGGGUGUAGCGGUGGAAUGCGUAGAGAUCCGGAAGAACACCGGUGGCGAAGGCGGCCCGCUGGGCUGUGGCUGACGCUGAGGCGCGACAGCGUGGGGAGCAAACAGG